GUUGAACGCUGGCGGCAUGGCUAAAACAUGCAAGUCGAACGCGAAAGGGGAGCAAUUCCCAAGUAGAGUGGCGAAAGGGUGAGUAAUGCAUUUCUACGUGCCCCGAGGUCAGGGAUAGCUCAGGGAAACCUGGAUUAAUACCUGAUGUGGUCGCAAGAUCAAAGGCGCAAGUCGCCUCGGGAGCGGGGAAUGUCCUAUCAGCUAGUUGGUGAGGUAACGGCUCACCAAGGCUCUGACGGGUAGCGGGUGUGAGAGCAUGGCCCGCCACAUCGGGACUGAGACACUGCCCGGACUCCUACGGGAGGCUGCAGUAACGAAUCUUCCACAAUGCGCGAAAGCGUGAUGGAGCAAUGCGCGUGCAGGAUGAAGCCCUUCGGGGUGUAAACUGCUGUCAGGUUUUAGGAACACAAUGACCAAAGCCAAAGGAAGAGAACGACUAACUCUGUGCCAGCAGUCGCGGUAAUACAGAGGUCUCGAGCGUU
rnacentral:rRNA from 1 species